AUGGCUGCGGCGGCGGCGUGGGACGGCCCGACGGCGGGCGAGCUGAAAGCGGCCGGCGCGGAGGCGAUUCCGGGCGGCGUGCGGGUGAAGGGCUGGGUCAUCCAGACUCACAAGGGGCCCAUCCUCAACUCCGCAUCUGUGAGCCUAUAUGAAGAUAAACUUCAGACGACACAUUUACCUGAGAUGGUGUUUGGAGAGAGUUUUGUGUCUAUUCAGAAUGCUCAAACUGGUGUCAAAUUACAUUUCAAUGCGCUUGAUGCUCUCAAGGCAUGGAAACAAGAGGCAUUGCCACCUGUUCAAGUUCCUGCUGCAGCAAAAUGGAAAUUCAGAAGGCAAAGAACCAAGAGAAGGUUCAUUCAGUAUAUGUUUUCUUGCAGUAAUCCUGCUGAUCAAGUGGUACUUGACUAUGACUAUACAUUCACGACACCAUACUGUGGGAGUGAUGUGGUUCUGAACCAAGACGCUACGCAAACAAGUUUAGAUGAAUGUAGCAAUUUGUGUUGGGAGGACACUGAUGACAGGAUAGACCUUGUUGCCCUUUCUGCAAAAGAACCAAUUCUUUUCUACGAUGAGGUUAUCUUGUAUGAAGAUGAGCUAGCUGAUAGUGGUAUUUCAUUCCUUACAGCGCGAGUGAGGGUGAUGCCAACCGGUUGGUUUCUGCUCUUGCGCUUUUGGCUUAGGGUUGAUGGUGCGCUAAUGAGAUUGAGGGAUACCCGUUUACAUUGUUCUUUUGGAAGUAAGGAAGCGAAGCCGGUUGUACUGCGUGAACUCUGCUGGAGGGAAGCAACAUUUGCUGCAAUGUCUGCGGAAGGGUAUCCUUCUGAUUCCGCGGCAUACGCAGACCCGAAUCUUGUCGCCCGUAAGCUGCCCGUCGUGAUGCAGAAGACCCAGAAGCUGAAGAUACCCAGUUAA
rnacentral:rRNA from 1 species